GAUGAAGAACGUAGCAAAAUGCGAUACCUGGUGUGAAUUGCAGAAUCCCGCGAACCAUCGAGUUUUUGAACGCAAGUUGCGCCCGAGGCCUUCUGGUUGAGGGCACGCCUGCCUGGGCGUCACGCCAAAAGACACUCCCAACCCAAACCUGGGGAAGGACGUGGUGUUUGGCUCCCCGUGCUGCAAGGCGCGGUGGGCCGAAGUUUGGGCUGCCGGCAUAACUUGUCGGGCACCGCACGUGGUGGGCGACAUCUAGUUGUUCUCGGUGCAGUGUCCUGGCAUGCAGCUGGCUUAUUGGCCUCAAGGACCCAUACACGACCGAAGCGUUUAGGCGCUCGGACCGCGACCCCAGGUCAGACGGGACUACCCGCUGAGUUUAAGCAUAUCAAUAAGCGGAGGA
rnacentral:misc_RNA from 1 species